AUCCUUCUGGUUCAUCUAUGUGAUGAAUGGGUGUUCACUCACCUGAGUGAGAUGUACUGCCUCAACCUUUCCUGUUAUAUACAGGUAUAUUAUCCAGCUGUUU